rnacentral:rRNA from 1 species
GGAGGAAAAGAAACCAACAGGGAUUGCCUUAGUAGCGGCGAGUGAAGCGGCAAAAGCUCAAAUUUGAAAUCUGGCUCUUUCAGAGUCCGAGUUGUAAUUUGAAGAAGGUAUCUUUGGGUCUGGCUCUUGUCUAUGUUUCUUGGAACAGAACGUCACAGAGGGUGAGAAUCCCGUGCGAUGAGAUGAUCCAGGCCUAUGUAAAGUUCCUUCGAAGAGUCGAGUUGUUUGGGAAUGCAGCUCUAAGUGGGUGGUAAAUUCCAUCUAAAGCUAAAUAUUGGCGAGAGACCGAUAGCGAACAAGUACAGUGAUGGAAAGAUGAAAAGAACUUUGAAAAGAGAGUGAAAAAGUACGUGAAAUUGUUGAAAGGGAAGGGCUUGAGAUCAGACUUGGUAUUUUGUAUGUUACUUCUUCGGGGGUGGCCUCUACAGUUUAUCGGGCCAGCAUCAGUUUGGGCGGUAGGAGAAUUGCGUUGGAAUGUGGCACGGCUUCGGUUGUGUGUUAUAGCCUUCGUCGAUACUGCCAGCCUAGACUGAGGACUGCGGUUUAUACCUAGGAUGUUGGCAUAAUGAUCUUAA